rnacentral:rRNA from 1 species
UGCAAAUAUCGAUGUAUAGGAGGUCUUGCCUGCCCAGUGACAAGUUAAACGGCCGCGGUAUUUUGACCGUGCGAAGGUAGCGCAAUCACUUGUCUUUUAAAUGAAGACCUGUAUGAAUGGUGAAACGAGGGCUUAACUGUCUCCCCUUUCUGGUCAAUGAAAUUGAUCUCUCCGUGCAGAAGCGGACAUAAUAAUACAAGACGAGAAGACCCUUUGGAGCUUAAGAUACAAGAUCACCUAUGUCAAGGACUUAAAACCAUCAAACUAAAUAGUAAUUGAUCCUAAUCUUUGGUUGGGGCGACCACGGGAGACAAUAAAGCUCCCAUGCGGACUGGGACACAUCCUAAAACCAAGAAAGACAUUUCUAAGCAACAGAAUUUCUGACCACAUGAUCCGGCCACCCGCCGAUCAACGAACCAAGUUACCCUAGGGAUAACAGCGCAAUCCCCUUUCAGAGUCCAUAUCGACAAGGGGGUUUACGACCUCGAUGUUGGAUCAGGACAUCCUAAUGGUGCAGCCGCUAUUAAGGGUUCG